rnacentral:rRNA from 1 species
AGCGGCGGACGGGUGAGUAACGCGUGGGUAACCUGCCCUAUACACAUGGAUAACAUACUGAAAAGUUUACUAAUACAUGAUAAUAUAUAUUUGCGGCAUCGCAGAUAUAUCAAAGUGUUAGCGGUAUAGGAUGGACCCGCGUCUGAUUAGCUAGUUGGUGAGAUAACUGCCCACCAAGGCGACGAUCAGUAGCCGACCUGAGAGGGUGAUCGGCCACAUUGGAACUGAGACACGGUCCAAACUCCUACGGGAGGCAGCAGUGGGGAAUAUUGCACAAUGGGCGAAAGCCUGAUGCAGCAACGCCGCGUGAACGAUGAAGGUCUUCGGAUCGUAAAGUUCUGUUGCAGGGGAAGAUAAUGACGGUACCCUGUGAGGAAGCCCCGGCUAACUACGUGCCAGCAGCCGCGGUAAUACGUAGGGGGCUAGCGUUAUCCGGAUUUACUGGGCGUAAAGGGUGCGUAGGUGGUCCUUCAAGUCGGUGGUUAAAGGCUACGGCUCAACCGUAGUAAGCCGCCGAAACUGGAGGACUUGAGUGCAGGAGAGGAAAGUGGAAUUCCCAGUGUAGCGGUGA